ACCAAGUUUAAUCAUUCCCAAAGGUUCUGUACAGCUGUAAUCAGACAGCAAAACAUUUCAGACAUCACAGUUAUAUACAUCCUACUUAAAAGACACUCCCUCUCUCCAUCCUUAGUUUAUGCCCAAGAGAAAGAAGGUAACCAGAUACUAACCCUGAUUACUCCCUUAAGGGGAACUGACCUCACCCCUCACCUCCUGACCUCAACCCCUCCUUCACCUAAUCCACAGCUCUCCUCUCCUCCAUCAAACACAUUCCAAAGCCUUCUGGGUUGUUACAGACUCUUUCUAUUCAAGGCUUCGUCUCUAUCAUUUAUUUCAUAUGUCAAUGUUCAAAGUUUAGCCGAUUCCAACAAGGCCAACAGUCAGUGUCCAGAAUUCAGUUACUUUAUAGGCCUGCAGUCAGUGUCCAGAUUUCAGUUACUUUAUAGGCCAGCAGUCAGUGUCCAGAUUUCAGUUACUUUAUAGGCCUGCAGUCAGUGUCCAGAUUUCAGUUACUUUAUAGGCCAACAGUCAGUUUCCAGAUUUCAGUUACUUUAUAGGCCUGCAGCCAGUUUCCAGAUUUCAGUUACUUUAUAGGCCAGCAGUCAGUUUCCAGAUUUCAGUUACUUUAUAGGCCUGCAGCCAGUUUCCAGAUUUCAGUUACUUUAUAGGCCAGCAGUCAGUGUCCAUGUGCUGCCAUCCUGUUAAAAGGUAACAGAUUAUUUUAUUACAAUGGUUAAAUUGGAUUUUCAUUGUGUUCAAUGGUGUUAUUUGCCCCCUAGUGGCGCUUUCUGGUACUUAGAAAGACAACGCAAACGGGAAGUUCAGAAUUUGUUUUGCACGCAUAGAAGCAGCUACAAACAACGCUACGGUGCAGGUCUUUCAAUGUAGUUAUUUCUUGUCACGCUUCAGCCUUGGAAAAAUAUUUGUUUUUUCACAACAUAAACGUUUUCAAUAUAUUCAUUCAAGAA